AGGGUGACUGCGUACCUUUUGUAUAAUGGGUCAGCGACUUAUAUUCUGUAGCAAGGUUAACCGUAUAGGGGAGCCGUAGGGAAACCGAGUCUUAACUGGGCGAAUGAGUUGCAGGGUAUAGACCCGAAACCCGGUGAUCUAGCCAUGGGCAGGUUGAAGGUUGGGUAACACUAACUGGAGGACCGAACCGACUAAUGUUGAAAAAUUAGCGGAUGAC
rnacentral:rRNA from 1 species